AUUGAACGCUGGCGGCAGGCCUAACACAUGCAAGUCGAGCGGAUGAAGGGAGCUUGCUCCUGGAUUCAGCGGCGGACGGGUGAGUAAUGCCUAGCAAUCUGCCUGGUAGUGGGGGAUAACGUCCGGAAACGGGCGCUAAUACCGCAUACGUCCUGAGGGAGAAAGUGGGGGAUCUUCGGACCUCACGCUAUCAGAUGAGCCUAGGUCGGAUUAGCUAGUUGGUGGGGUAAAGGCCUACCAAGGCGACGAUCCGUAACUGGUCUGAGAGGAUGAUCAGUCACACUGGAACUGAGACACGGUCCAAACUCCUACGGGAGGCAGCAGUGGGGAAUAUUGGACAAUGGGCGAAAGCCUGAUCCAGCCAUGCCGCGUGUGUGAAGAAGGUCUUCGGAUUGUAAAGCACUUUAAGUUGGGAGGAAGGGCAGUAAGUUAAUACCUUGCUGUUUUGACGUUACCAACAGAAUAAGCACCGGCUAACUUCGUG
rnacentral:rRNA from 1 species